rnacentral:rRNA from 1 species
CACAUGCAAGUCGAACGGUAAGGCCCCUUUCGGGGGUACACGAGUGGCGAACGGGUGAGUAACACGUGGGUAAUCUGCCCUGCACUUCGGGAUAAGCCUGGGAAACUGGGUCUAAUACCGGAUAUGAACUCCUGCCGCAUGGUGGGGGUUGGAAAGUUUUUCGGUGCAGGAUGAGCCCGCGGCCUAUCAGCUUGUUGGUGGGGUAAUGGCCUACCAAGGCGACGACGGGUAGCCGGCCUGAGAGGGUGAUCGGCCACACUGGGACUGAGACACGGCCCAGACUCCUACGGGAGGCAGCAGUGGGGAAUAUUGCACAAUGGGCGAAAGCCUGAUGCAGCGACGCCGCGUGGGGGAUGACGGUCUUCGGAUUGUAAACCCCUUUCAGUAGGGACGAAGCGCAAGUGACGGUACCUGCAGAAGAAGCACCGGCUAACUACGUGCCAGCAGCCGCGGUAAUACGUAGGGUGCGAGCGUUGUCCGGAAUUACUGGGCGUAAAGAGCUCGUAGGCGGUUUGUCACGUCGUCUGUGAAAUCCCUCGGCUUAACCGGGGGCGUGCAGGCGAUACGGGCAGACUUGAGUACUACAGGGGAGACUGGAAUUCCUGGUGUAGCGGUGAAAUGCGCAGAUAUCAGGAGGAACACCGGUGGCGAAGGCGGGUCUCUGGGUAGUAACUGACGCUGAGGAGCGAAAGCAUGGGUAGCGAACAGGAUUAGAUACCCUGGUAGUCCAUGCCGUAAACGGUGGGCGCUAGGUGUGGGGUCCUUCCACGGACUCCGUGCCGUAGCUAACGCAUUAAGC